AUUGAACGCUGGCGGCAGGCCUAACACAUGCAAGUCGAACGAGUGGCGGACGGGUGAGUAAUGUCUGGGAAACUGCCCGAUGGAGGGGGAUAACUACUGGAAACGGUGGCUAAUACCGCAUACUAUCGGAUGAACCCAUCUGGGCUUAGCUAGUAGGUGGGGUAAAGGCUCACCUAGGCGACGAUCACUAGCUGGUCUGAGAGGAUGAUCAGCCACACUGGGACGGAGACACGGCCCAGACUCCUACGGGAGGCAGCAGUGGGGAAUAUUGCGCAAUGGGGGCAACCCUGAUGCAGCCAUGCCGCGUGAAUGAAGAAGGCCAUCGGGUUGUAAAGUUCUUUCGGUAGCGAGGCGUUAACUACAGAAGAAGCACCGGCUAACUCCGUGCCAGCAGCCGCGGUAAUAC
rnacentral:rRNA from 1 species